CAAUAGCGUAUAUUUAAGUUGCUGCAGUUAAAAAGCUCGUAGUUGGAUUUCGGGUGGGAAUGGCCGGUCCGCCGUUUCGGUGUGCACUUGCUACGCCCACCUUGCUGCCGGGGACGUGCUCUUGAGUUCACGCUCGGGACACGGAGUCGGCGAGGUUACUUUGAGUAAAUUAGAGUGUUCAAAGCAGGCCUACGCUCUGAAUACAUUAGCAUGGAAUAACACGAUAGGACUCUGGCCUAUCUUGUUGGUCUGUAGGACCGGAGUAAUGAUUAAGAGGGACAGUCGGGGGCAUUCGUAUUUCAUUGUCAGAGGUGAAAUUCUUGGAUAUAUGAAAGACGAACUACUGCGAAAGCAUUUGCCAAGGAUGUUUUCAUUGA
rnacentral:rRNA from 1 species